GAAAUAGCUUGCUAUUUUGCUGACGAGUGGCGCACGGGUGCGUAACGCGUAUACAAUCUGCCUUUAAGCGGGAAAUAGCCCAUGGAAACGUGGAUUAAUGUCCCAUAGUAUGGAGACUUCACCUGGAGAUUUCAUUAAACAUUUAUGGCUUAAAGAUGAGUAUGCGUCCUAUUAGUUAGUUGGUAAGGUAACGGCUUACCAAGACCGCGAUAGGUAGGGGUCCUGAGAGGGAGAUCCCCCACACUGGUACUGAGACACGGACCAGACUCCUACGGGAGGCAGCAGUGAGGAAUAUUGGACAAUGGAGGCAACUCUGAUCCAGCCAUGCCG
rnacentral:rRNA from 1 species